AGAAAAAUCCUAAAGAGGGUGAGAGAAGGUGGGCCUGACCCGGAACCCAUUAGGCUCAAUGGGGACUGGACUAUUGAAGACUCAGCUCAGGGAUGGAUGCAUGGAGAGCCAAAGAGGAGAGAAUGAAGGGAGAGAACUGGAGGCUGUGAGUCCCAGUGUGGAGUGCUCUGUGAAGGCUUCCCAUGAAUCCACCACUCCUGUUGACCGGAACUCCUGGGAUCUGCCACAAGCUCCCCUGAAUACCAGAAUGGCAUCUCUUGAGGGGCCAAAG
rnacentral:lncRNA from 1 species